rnacentral:rRNA from 1 species
AUUGAACGCUGGCGGCAGGCCUAACACAUGCAAGUCGAGCGAGCGGCGGACGGGCGAGUAAUGUCUGGGAACGUGCCUGAUGGAGGGGGAUAACUACUGGAACUGGUAGCUAAUAUCGCUUACCAUCAGAUUUGAUCAGGUGGGAUUAGCCAGUCGGUGUGUUAACGGCUCACCUAGGCGACGAUCCAUAGCUGAGCUGAGAGGUAGCCCAGCCACACUGGAACUGAGACACGGUCCAGACUCCUACGGGAGGCAGCAGUAGGGAAUAUUGCGCAAUGGGCGCAAGCCUGAUGCAGCAAUGCCGCGUGUGUGAAGAAGGCUUUCGGAUUGUAAAGCACUUUCGGCAGGGAGGCGGUACCCAAAGAAAAAGCACCGGCUAACUCCGUGCCAGCAGCCGCGGUAAUAC